GUUCCACAUUUCGUCCCUCGAAUAAAUCUAGAAAUUACAAUAACUCCUGACGUGGCAUCCGAACCCUGUCAAAUCUCUCGCCACCACAUCAUGCUAUGGGGUAGACGAGAGUUCUUCAUGGACCAUUAGGAGGAAACACCUGUAGGAGGAAUAUUCUCCUUCUCCACCUCAAAAUCCAAGAACGGUCUAGGGAUUUGUCUAAGCGGACGACCGCAUGAAGAACGUUGCCUUUAUCCGACCGUUGCAGUCUUUUUCCAACGUCUAGUAACAUACUGACCUUUGAAUUCACUCCCAUAAAAAAGUAAUAGACUGGCCAUCGUAUUGUUAACGGGUGCGUGGAUGGGUGAGUUGUCUUCGGGCGGUAAAGCUUGUAUAUUAUUUCUUCCCCAACGACGCUCCGCUCCCUGCGGACUAUUUUAGCGAGUAGGAAGUGUCUCAUCCGGCCGCGAAGCCAGAUCCCAAAUCUUGUCCAAGAAUCCGAUUCUUCCCGUUCUGAUCCCCAAGCGCGAUUGCUUUCACUGGAAGUCGCCGAUGUAUCGCGCCCACGGCAGUGGAGGAACUUGAGAUAGCGUUUUCCGCCUCCCAGGACUGCUGAUCUGGCCGUCUCGUGAGACCGAUGCCGGGUUUUCUUGGUAGCUUCGUGCUGCCUCUGCUGCUGUUGGCAGGUGCAGUUCAGAUGAACAUAUUAAUCAACUAUGGAUUAUGGAAAGGUGUGACGUAAGGAUGGAGUGCUGCACCCGUGAGUUUUGUGAGUAACAGGAUCCACCAAGUUCCUGUAAUUCAUACAAGAGAAACAAAAGAAAGCUCCUGUGACGAGAAAAAAAAUGAGGAAAAUAUAGAAAGGAACAUGAGAAAAAUUGAGUCAAGAAAACCACACAAAAGAUCUUGUAAAAUGAGGUGACAGCUUGAAGAUCCAAAUCUAUUUGUGAUGCCAGCAGUGUCAAGCUGAUGAAGAGACACAUCUGUGGGGUGAUACGAUUCCAAAUAGACAAAUUCAAAUAACUCUUUUAAAAUAUUAUCCUUUAGAAAAAAUUAUUAGAUUUAUUAUUAAUUCGAGGACUUGAAAAUAUUAGAAUGGGUUAUUUGACUUAUUAAUAAUUUAUUAUUGAUUUGAUAGUAUUGUAGGACUAUA